AGUGAACGCUGGCGGUAGGCCUAACACAUGCAAGUCGAACGGCAGCACAGAGGAGCUUGCUCCUUGGGUGGCGAGUGGCGGACGGGUGAGGAUUACAUCGGAAUCUACUCUGUCGUGGGGGAUAACGUUGGGAAACUUACGCUAAUACCGCAUACGACCUACGGGUGAAAGCAGGGGAUCUUCGGACCUUGCCCGAUCGAAUGAGCCGAUGUCGGAUUAGCUAGUUGGCGGGGGAAAGGCCCACCAAGGCGACGAUCCGUAGCUGGUCUGAGAGGAUGAUCAGCCACACUGGAACUGAGACACGGUCAGACUCCUACGGGAGGCAGCAGUGGGGAAUAUUGGACAAUGGGCGCAAGCCUGAUCCAGCCAUACCGCGUGGGUGAAGAAGGCCUUCGGGUUGUAAAGCCCUUUUGUUGGGAAAGAAAUCCAUCUGGUUAAUACCCGGGUGGGAUGACGGUACCCAAAGAAUAAGCACCGGCUAACUUCGUGCCAGCAGCCGCCGUAA
rnacentral:rRNA from 1 species